AGUGAACGCUGGCGGUAGGCCUAACACAUGCAAGUCGAACGGCAGCACAGUAAGAGCUUGCUCUUACGGGUGGCGAGUGGCGGACGGGUGAGGAAUACAUCGGAAUCUACUUUUUCGUGGGGGAUAACGUAGGGAAACUUACGCUAAUACCGCAUACGACCUACGGGUGAAAGCAGGGGAUCUUCGGACCUUGCGCGAUUGCAUGAGCCGAUGUCGGAUUAGCUAGUUGGCGGGGUAAAGGCCCACCAAGGCGACGAUCCGUAGCUGGUCUGGGAGGAUGAUCAGCCACACUGGAACUGAGACACGGUCCAGACUCCUACGGGAGGCAGCAGUGGGGAAUAUUGGACAAUGGGCGCAAGCCUGAUCCAGCCAUACCGCGUGGGUAAAGAAGGCCUUCGGGUUGUAAAGCCCUUUUGUUGGGAAAGAAAAGCAGCAGGUUAAAACCCCGCUGUUCUGACGGUACCCAAAGAAUAAGCACCGGCUAACUUCGUG
rnacentral:rRNA from 1 species